UAGACCAAGCUUCCUCUCACACCAGAGCUGCUGUGGCAGAUGCUUCUACAAUGGCUCCCGGGGCCCCUCAUCCCCUGUCUGCUCACCUGUGUGACCCCUGCCCCUUGAGCGUGGGCUGGCCCUUGUGACUUGCAUCUGAUGAACAGAAACGGCAAACGGGAUGGGAGGUCACUUCUGAGAUUAGGUGACAGAAGAAUCAGAUUCCAUGUCGCCCGCCCCUCUGUUGAAACAGGCUGCAAUGCGGAGAGCUGCUCCAGGGAGAGGCCCACUCGGGGAGGACCUGAGGGCGCCCGGGGGGAACUGAAUCCUGCAACAGCCGCGGGAGUGAACUCGGAUCCUUCCCCGAUCGAGCCUUCAGAUGAGGACAACCCGGCAGCCUGUGAGAGACCCUGAGCCAGAGGACCAGCGGCGCCAUGACCACAACCCUGACCCUCAGAAACUGUGACACGAGGAGGACACAGAGACUCAGAGAGUUUGAAACUUGCCCGAGGUCCCACAGCUAAUGGAUGACAGUCUGGGCUUGGAACCCAAGUCCACCCCACAGCCAGUGCUGCUGACCAGGACACUGCACCACGUGGUUCUCUGGGGCUUUGACUCUGGAUACCAACCAUAAACAGUGGGAGAGAAAGGAGGUGAAUCUUGCAGAAUCCUUCCAGCGUGUGAAAACCAUCAUCAAAGGGCAUGCGGCGUGGAGAAAAGCACAGAGAACCACUGAUCGAAGACAUCCAUCCACGGAUGCGCAGACACUUGGAAAGCGCAUCAAUUUCCAAACUGGCGGCUCAAAAAACAGCCAAGUUGUAAAGAGCAGCUUCAAAACAAGACAGUGACUGUUCUACCAGAUUCUCCUUAUAUUUUGGUUUUAAGCCAAAACCCUCCAAUUAAGCAACCCUCAGAUUUCUACCCAAACAGAAACCGGCGCACACUUGUUGCCUGCUGACUAUGUGGAUACCCACCCCACACAGCGUGGAAGACGUCCCUGACCUCAGAAGGUUUACCAUCCGAUGGUGGAGGUGAGCUAUUCCAUUAAAGGGAAGUAGGAAUCGCUCAUGCCGCAACUCUCGUACCCUGUGCCCGUGGCAGACAUGACUAAUCAAUGAAAGCACAAGAAUUGAUACGCAAGAUGAAAGCUAUUGGUUCUUCCUGAUGCAUUCUUAUAAAAAGAGAAGUAAAUAGAGAAGGUAAUCUUAAAAGGCCAGGGGUCUGGACUUCUGCUACAGAAAACUUUAGGAGGAGCUCCUCAUCGUCAGUGAGAUCAGAGAAGGCUUCCUGGAGGAGGGGCUUCAGCCCAACCUUCAAGGAUAACUACGGAUAGGAGAGGCGGAGGCAUCUGGAACGGCGAGAAUGGCUACAGCGUGCAGAGGGGAGCACACUCGGGCCAUGGGGAGUCUGGCAAACUACCUGAAGUGACAGGUUGCAGUUGGAGAAAUGGAUCUGCAAAGGAAUGGUGAGGCCAGGCCUUGACAGGCCUCGACCGCCCUGCAAAAGAUUUUGAAUUCUAUUUUAUGAGCAGUACAGAGACUUGAUAGUUUGUGAAUAGGAGAAUGACAGUAUUUUCAGUAAAUCAAACCAGCAGGGGCGUGCAGGGGGACUGAAGUGGAGGAAACUCGAGGCUGGAAGACCACCGGAGACAUGGCGGGAGUAACCCAGGGGAGUGGAAGCGAGGGACCAGGCCAGGGCGUCCCCCGAAAGAUGGGAAAAUGAAAGCAGCCACGCCCGAGGCUUGUCCGAGGAAGAUUCCACAGCGCCCAGGGCAGAGCGACGCGCAGGAGACGGAAGAAUCCAGAGAAACGCAUCAAGGAAAAAUACUUCCACUAUCGCCUCUCACGUCUCCUUUCCAAAAAAGCAUAAUCCCUGAGAGCCGUGGGAUGUCCACACCACAGCAACGUUUGGGCCACAGGUGGAUUCUUCUGUGUGAUCUUCACGAUAGUCAGCAAGGGGAUUUCAAGGGACGGCCACUAAGGGCUCCCCUCGAGCUCUCCUCCCAGCUGUCAUUUUGGCAGACUCAAAGCGGGGGGUGUCACCCAGGGAAGGAGCUGGUCCUUCUUUUAAACAGGAUGCAAACUUAUUGGAUUUCCUUUCUGCAUCGCAUGGGCCAACAUUCCAACGGCCUACCAAACGCUGUCACAAAAAUACAACUGGACCACAGACGGUCAGUAAUGUCACAGUAUUUGGCUCCAAGUUACCAUAAAUGUCAAGUAUUUUCCCUCAGCUCAUUUCAAGCUUUCUGAAAUGAGAAUAACGAUUGAACCUUCCCACAGCAGGGGUGUCUGCUUGGCAAGUACCUAAAGCUUGGAGAUGCGCAGAGCACCACGCCAGAGGCUGGGUCACAUGAGAAAAUGAAAGCGGCUUCUAAACAAGCAAGCCUUGUGCAAGCAGAAGGCUUUACCGUCAUUGGCCCUGACCUGCGCCAAUCUGUACACACUCCCUGUGAUGCACAGACUCUCCCUUUAUUAUUCUUCAUUAUUAGGGUUGGUAAUAAUAGCUCAUGUUGAUAGAGUACCCUAUCAAUAAGGGUUUUGGCAGGAGCAGACGGCACAUUCAGACAAAGCCACUGAGGAGAGUUUCAUAAACAGAUAUUUACAAAGGUGCGUGGG